rnacentral:rRNA from 1 species
UACGUAGGGUGCGAGCGUUGCCCCGGAUUUAUUGGGCGUAAAGGGCGCGUAGGCGGUGCGGUAAGUCACCUGUGAAAUCUCCCUGGCUCAACUGGGAGCUUGCAGGCGAAACUGCCGUGCUGGAGUGUGGGAGAGGUGAGUGGAAUUCCCGGUGAUAGCGGUGAAAUGCGUAGAUAUCGGGAGGAACACCUGUGGCGAAAGCGGCUCACUGGACCACAACUGACGCUGAGGCGCGAAAAGCUAGGGGAGCAAACAGG